rnacentral:lncRNA from 1 species
AUACAGUGGUGUCAAACAGAUACUCUUUUGGUAUUAUGAAACCAAAGUCAAAGAAGUCUUCUUCUGUACCUGAAGCUGCCCUUAUUCCUUUAAUGUGUUCUACCCUGGAGUAACAUAGCAUCAAACUGAGAGAUAGUUCCUUAGCAUCCAGGGAGUUUGUGCUGUGUUAUGUGUGUGUGUGUGUGUAUACAUUUAUAUAUCAGUGUGUUUACAAUUAAUGUGAAUUUUAUAUGUGUAUAUAAUGUAUGUACAUAGUAUACAUACUAUAUGUAACCCCAAUUUCCCUCUCCAACUUCAGUCCUGUCCCCCAAACAUGCCUGCUUCUAACUUCAUAUCUUUUUUUGUAACUCUAUUCGUCCAAUUAUUGGUCCCUAUAGGAAACCUACUCAAGACCUUGCUAUACCACUCCUGGGCAUAUACCCAAAAGAUGCUCCAACAUAUAACAAGGACACAUGCUCCACUAUAUUUAUAGCCACUUUAUUUAUAAUAGCCAGAAAUUGGAAACAACCCAGAUGUCCCUCAACUGAAGAAUGGAUACAGAAAAUGUGGUAGAUCUACACAAUGGAAUACUAUUCAGAUAUUAAAAACAAGGAUAUCAUGAAUUUUGCAGGCAAAUGGAUGGAACUCGAGAAUAUCAUCCUGAGUGAGGUAGGCCAGACCCAAAACCAUAGAGUACAGGUACCGUGCUGCAUUCCACAGACGUAAAGACGCUAAACAUGAAGAAAGGCCCAAGCCAGGAAGCUUGAAUCUCACUUAAAAGGGGUAAUAAAAUAGUCAUCAGAGGCAGAUGGAGAGAGGGAACUGGGAGGAAGGAGGAUAGGGAGGGGAACAGGGAGGUCAGGAUCAGGUGUGGGGAGGGACAGGAGAAAUGGCCAUGAGAAUGAAUGGAAAUCUGCAACUGACAGGGGUGAGGAGCUAGGGGGCAUCUCUAGGACAUAACAGAGACCUGGGAUAAGGAGGUCCCUAAGUAUCAAUGAUGGUGACCUUAGUGUAACUCACCGCAUUGGGGAUAUGGAACCUGAAGAAGCCGCCUUUUGUAGCCAGUCAGGAACUCUUACAGAGUGAUUGGGACACCAACCCACCAACAAAACUUUUAACCCAAAAUCUAUCAUGUCUACAAGAAAUGCAGGGACAGGGGAUGGAACAGAGACUGAGGGAAUGGCUAACCAAUAACUGACCCUUCAAUAACUGAUUGAGACAAGCACCAAUCUCUGACACUAUUAAUAAUACUGUUAUGCUUGCAGAUAGGAGUCAAGCAUGGCUGUCCUAUGAGAAGCUCCACCCAGCAGCUGACUCAUAGGGAUGCAGAGACCCACAGUCAUACAGUGGAUGGAGCUUGGGGACUCUUAUGAAGAAUAGGAGGAAGGACUGAGGACCUGAAGGGGAUAAGAACUGCACAGGAAGACCAACAGAGUCAACUAACCUGGACCUUUGAGGGCUCUCAGAGAUUGAACCAUACACAGAGAAGAAUAUACACGGGCUGCACCUAAGCCUCCCCACACAUAUGUAGCAGAUGUGCAGCUUGGUCUUCAUGUGGGUCCUGAACAACUGGAGCAGGGACUAUCCCAAGAGCUGUUGCCUAAUUGUUGAUUUCAAAGAUAGCAGUGAGGGUCUAAUGGAAAUCUGCCAUGCAGACCAUCUAAGUCACUUACUCUUCAAUCUUGCUUCAAUUUAACGAGCAUCAGUCAAGCCAAGAUCUCAGCUAUCAGUAGCUUUUCUUUAAGGGGCAGGCCCUGAGGAGCAUCCUUCCCGGAGUCUGCACAGUAUUGGGAAGCUUCCUGCCCGGACUUCCCUGGAUGGUACCUUCCCUGCAAGCUCCAAAAAGAAGUAAAUCCUUUCUUCCACAAGAUAGAGCUUUGGUCAUGGUGAUUUAUCACAGGAGUGCAGACCCUAGAUUCCAGACAGAGAUCAUUCCAGAAAACAACAAGCCUUCGAACUGCAGAGUUGCCGAGCCCAGGCACAAUGGAGAUCUCCAACACAGCUGCAUCUAAGGCUCAGGGAAUAUUUUGGAAGAGGGGUCAGAAGCAGUCUAAGAACUAGAGGAUCAAGGAAUGAGAUGCAAUGCUGUGUCUCCUAAGACUGCCAGAAGCAACCUGCAAAGUCUCAGCAACACGACUGCCCAAACAUGAGCUGGACAAGGAAGAGUAGACAUGCCAGAUAUGGGCAGAGGGAAAGCCCAUAGGGCCUCAACCUUAUCUCCAAAGAACAAGGGCAAACUAAGGAGGGCUGAGAGCUAGAGAGAUAGGCUUCCCCAGGAAGGAGCACAACAGUUGUUUAUCUCCUACCAGAGGCUAGUCCUGGAAACACGCAUCCAGGUCACACCAUGAAGCUUGAGCUGAUUAUAUGUAGAAAUCUAUAUGCAUGUACAUGAAUACAUUGGUAGAGGAAAUAACAAUUGAUGAAGAACGGGGUUAUUUGAAAGAGAGCAAGGAAGGGUAUAUGUGAGUCUUUGGGGUAGAAGAGGAACUAGAUAACAGAUGUAGUAAUAAUCACAAAAAAGAAAAGAAAUCUUUUAGUUGCCCUCUGAAUUUAGCAAGAUUCUGUAUGGCUGUUGGCUAUGUCCUGAGUUUUGGUUGACCCCUUUCCACAACCCCAUCACCCCAAGCACCAUCCCUCUGUAAGGCUUUCUAUGCCCGGUAUCCUAGAAAGUCCAUGUUCACAUCUCAUGCGUCUUACAGUCCCCCACCUCUGGACCUCCUCUGGAAGCUCCUUUCUCCCUCCAUGACUUCUACAGACACUGACUCCUAUUCAAACAUAGAAAGGUAGAACUAUGCAGCUGGUGCCCACAUGUGAGAGCACAUAGGUGGCUUCUGUGGCUGUUUGACCAAGAUAAGAAAAAGGAACAUAGGAGAGGAGCAGCCAUCCUCAUUGACAAAUAGUCCUGGGGAGAACUGGAUAUACACAUGCAGAAGGCUAAAACCAGACCCCUAACUUUAGACUGAAGAAAAUUGGUUCUAAAAGGAGGUAAGACCUGAAAUGCUGAGGGUCUCAGGAAAAUGCAGGGAUCAUUUCUCAAGAGAAGCAGAUAGACAAGAUUCUUGUUUUCUUCUGUAAGACCCCCUUUCGGGGACCCCCACUCUAGUCUCGGGAGUGAGAGAGCACCCAAAGAAACACGAGAAUCCAUUGCCGUAAUCACAUGAGGCAGUUUAAAGACUGAGCUCCGGACCGACAUGCAUCUCACACAGGAGAUAACGGAUGUCCAUCACAAGGCUUGAAAGCUAGGGGUUUUUAUGGGGUGAGGAGCUUAGGGGUGUGGAAUUCAGCAUAGCAACACACUAGACACACUAUUGGCUUAUUCAAACAUUAACAGAAAGAUUACAUGUCAGCAAAAGGGCAUCGGGACUUUGUUCCUGUGGGCUGGGGGUUUAUCUUGUUCACAUAGCAACCAGUUGAUGUAUGACUUUACCCGGCAUCAAGGAGCAGUAGACAGAGGGGAGGUUCCGGCCAGGUGGGGUUGACCCAGACAAGAUAGCCCUGCUUGUCCUUGUAUUUUUUCAUUUUUACAGUCAAGCUGUUCUUAGGAACGUCUUAACAACAGCCCUGUCUGUUCUGCUUUGUUCUCCGCCCCAGGCCGUGGGCUCAUAGACAACUCUUUAACAUGAAUCACACGUUACAAAAUCUCAUUUUCCUUCACUUCAAAGGUUCAACAACUCCGGAAAUGGUCUCCGUACUUGUCAGGUGGGGUCCUCAUGAAUUACCAACUUCCUUCACCAUAAACAGGAAUAAAUUGGCAGAGUGAAGAGACAAAAUCCAAAAGGGGUGAACAAAAAACCUUGUUACACAAGUCAUCAUACAGAAACUUAAUGAAAUAUAUAGAUAAUUCAGACAAGUACAGUAGAACCAAACGACUCAGACGUGAGUAAACAAAACACAUUUCUCCUGGGGCAUAAGAUAUGGAGUGCACAUAAACAGGAGGGAGACUGAUGAGGUGGAAUAGGUAGGGGGGGAGAGAAUUUGUGUGAGAGUCAAAGGGAGUACAUGAGGCCUGGAAAUGGGUAAGGUCUGCUUUGUAUUUGAAAGUGAAGUGCAUCAGACCCACUGACGUUAGCAACCUGUGUGGACUGCUUACAAGUGGGUGCAUCGGGCUGGAGACAUGGCUCAGAGGUUAAGAGCACUCUCUUCUAUGACAUUGGACCAGGUUCUGAUCCCAGUACCACGUGAGCACAGCUCACAACCAUCUAUAACUCCAGUUCCAAAGGAUCUGACUUCCUCUUCGGGCCGCCAAUGCCACAGGCACUCUUGAAAUGCACAUGCAUGCAUGCAGGCAGGCAGGCAAAGAGUUAUACACACAAAAAUAAAACUGAGUCCGUCA